UACGAAGGGGGCUAGCGUUGUUCGGAUUUACUGGGCGUAAAGCGCACGUAGGCGGAUUGUUAAGUCAGGGGUGAAAUCCUGGAGCUCAACUCCAGAACUGCCUUUGAUACUGGCAAUCUCGAGUCCGGAAGAGGUGAGUGGAACUCCUAGUGUAGAGGUGGAAUUCGUAGAUAUUAGGAAAAACACCAGUGGCGAAGGCGGCUCACUGGUCCGGUACUGACGCUGAGGUGCGAAAGCGUGGGGAGCAAACAGG
rnacentral:rRNA from 1 species